rnacentral:rRNA from 1 species
UACGGAGGGGGCUAGCGUUGUUCGGAAUUACUGGGCGUAAAGCGCACGUAGGAGGCUUUACAAGUCAGAGGUGAAAGCCCGGAGCUCAACUCCGGAAUUGCCUUUGAGACUGUAUCGCUUGAAUCAUGGAGAGGCGGGUGGAAUUCCGAGUGUAGAGGUGAAAUUCGUAGAUAUUCGGAAGAACACCAGUGGCGAAGGCGGCCCGCUGGACAUGUAUUGACGCUGAGGUGCGAAAGCGUGGGGAGCAAACAGG